GAUGAACGCUGGCGGCGUGCCUAAUACAUGCAAGUCGAGCGAACAGACGAGGAGCUUGCUCCUCUGACGUUAGCGGAGGACGGGUGAGUAACACGUGGAUAACCUACCUAUAAGACUGGGAUAACUUCGGGAAACCGGAGCUAAUACCGGAUAAUAUAUUGAACCGCAUGGUUCAAUAGUGAAAGACUGUUUUGCUGUCACUUAUAGAUGGAUCCGCGCCGCAUUAGCUAGUUGGUAAGGUAACGGCUUACCAAGGCAACGAUGCGUAGCCGACCUGAGAGGGGGAUAGGCCACCCGGGAGCUGAGACACGGUCCAGACUCCUACGGGAGGCAGCAGUAGCGAACCUGCCGCAAUGGGCGAAAGCCUGACGGAGCAACGCCGCGUGAGUGAUGAAGGUCUUCGGAUCGUAAAACUCUGUUAUUAGGGAAGAACAAAUGUGUAAGUAACUAUGCACGUCUUGACGGUACCUAAUCAGAAAGCCACGGCUAACUACGUG
rnacentral:rRNA from 1 species